rnacentral:lncRNA from 1 species
UUUAGAGGAACAUAAUAAUGCUGCGAUACUGAGUUACAGUCAUAUUGCAUGAUGAUGAUUCUGCCUAAAUUUUGAAAAGUGAAUGAGAUACUCACAUGCUCUAGCAGUAGAUCAUCCUCCUUCAAGCCAAAAGAAAUCUAUUGCACACUGACCAGUUGCAAGUUCCAAAAGAUGUUGAGUGAAUGGCCCAAAAGGUCACUAAAUUAUUAAAAAUGAUACCUUCUAGUCACCAAACUUUUUUUGUGAUCGAAAAGGUCACUAAACUCGCAAAAACUCUCCAGCGGA